rnacentral:misc_RNA from 1 species
AGCAGCCGCGGUAAUUCCAGCUCCAAUAGCGUAUAUUAAAGUUGUUGCAGUUAAAAAGCUCGUAGUUGAAUUUCGGGAUCAAUUAAUCGGUCGUGCCUCUGGUACGCACUGGUUUUAUUGGUUUCUCCCUUCUGACGAACCAGGAUGUCAUUAAUUUGGUGUCUUGGAGAAUCAGGACUGUUACUUUAGAAAAAUUAGAGUAGUUUAAAGCAGGCUAACGCUUGAAUACAUUAGACAUGGAAUA